GUACGACCCUUUGGUGUAUCGUUGUUGUUAGCUGGCUGGGAUGAAGACAGACCUUAUCUGUUUCACUGUGAUCCUUCGGGAGCGUACUUUGCUUGGAAAGCCACUGCAAUGGGAAAAAAUCACUUGAACGGACGAACAUUCUUAGAAAAAAGGUAUAAUGAUGAUCUGCAGUUAGAAGAUGCAAUACACACAGCUAUACUGACACUUAAGGUUAGAUACAGAGUGUUAUAAAUUCUAAAAAUAUGAAGUUCUACGCAUUUAAAUGAGUAUAACUUGAACGCAAUUGAAGCUGAGAUUUUACAAGUAUGCCCAGUCCUUUUACAAUUUUUUUUUUAAAAAAACAGCAGUUUUUUAUUCAGUUUU